AACUUAUAAAUUAAAGAACAACGAUAACGUUGAGCUUGUCGCGGCUUAAGCCGUGACCGUCCCGCCCGGAAGGACCACGAGCCGGGAUGGGGCGUCGUUGAGUGGUGCCCGUGCGUGCGCAAAGCUUUGAGCGCACCAUGAAUCAUGAAGCUACCAAACCCUUGAGUGUGUCAGUCCACGCCUGGGAGCGGGAAUGAAAACGACUGUCUGCGCCCGGAGAAGUUCCCACUGAACCGUUUUCGGACGGGGGUUCGACUCCCCCCGCCUCCACCA
rnacentral:tmRNA from 1 species